AGACCCAGAACCUCCCCCAUCAUCACCAGACCGAAGCAGCCUUCACCCAGUGGCUUACCAAGAACAAGUCUGUGAGACGGAGAGGAGACAGUGGAAGAAUUUCAAAUGAAGCAACAGCAUUCAGAUGUUAAAGCUGUCUGCCUGGAAAAGCUGAUUACUUUGCUUCUGCCUCUGGACUCAUGGAUCUCAUCACCCACUGACCUGGAAAGUAGGCGCAUAAGAUCUGCAACAUCACAUCAACCAGCAGACAAGAUGCUUCUUUUGAAGUGGGAGCAGGAACAAAUUGAAUUAUGCGGCAACUCUGAAGAUCAGCUCCCAUAUAUAUGAUUACCCCGUCACCCACAGCAGGAUGCAAAAUGUGAGGCUGUUCCCCAAUCCUGAGUAUGGUACUCCAUGUCUCUGUGCGUGUCCUUCUGCCAGCCAUUUAUCUGAUUACUUCGAGACUGCUCUGAUGGGCCCGGCUCUGCCAGGGCAGCUGGGAAGCUUUUGUCUAGGUGGACACAGAGAUAAGGACAAGCUGACCCUUUCAUCUGUGAAAACCUAAAUUUAAGUACAACCGCAACGCAUGGUUCUGGGUAAGCAUGGAAUAAAAUAUAUUCCAAUAUUAACAAUGGCUGGAUAUUUAAAAAUAUAUAUAUUUCAUUCUUUUUUCUUUUGUCUAAAAAUUGUAUCAAACCAUCCAUCCAUCCGUCUGUCCGUCCAUUCAAUUUCCCAUCCAUCUUUCCUUUCAACCGUUCAUUCUUCCUUCCACUGUGUGGUUUUUGCAGUUUCCAAAUCUAAAGCCUAACAGCUGUUAUAAAUGUAUGGUGGAGUUUUUUUUAUUUCUAAUUUAAUUUGGCUUAAAAUGGAAUGAGCAUGAUUCAAGUUUAAGUCUGGAAAGGAUAGUUGGAUAGAUAGAUUCGCAUGUAAAACGUGUAAAAAUGCUUUAAAACAAAAAUAAAACAACACAAUAUUUA